rnacentral:rRNA from 1 species
AUUGAACGCUGGCGGCAUGCCUUACACAUGCAAGUCGAACGGCAGCAUGAUCUAGCUUGCUAGAUUGAUGGCGAGUGGCGAACGGGUGAGUAAUACAUCGGAACGUGCCCUGUAGUGGGGGAUAACUAGUCGAAAGAUUAGCUAAUACCGCAUACGACCUGAGGGUGAAAGUGGGGGACCGCAAGGCCUCAUGCUAUAGGAGCGGCCGAUGUCUGAUUAGCUAGUUGGUGAGGUAAAGGCUCACCAAGGCGACGAUCAGUAGCUGGUCUGAGAGGACGAUCAGCCACACUGGGACUGAGACACGGCCCAGACUCCUACGGGAGGCAGCAGUGGGGAAUUUUGGACAAUGGGCGAAAGCCUGAUCCAGCAAUGCCGCGUGUGUGAAGAAGGCCUUCGGGUUGUAAAGCACUUUUGUCCGGAAAGAAAUGGCUCUGGUUAAUACCUGGGGUCGAUGACGGUACCGGAGAUA